UCCAUCUCCACCAUAACAUACUCCCUCUACCAUAACACCACACCACCACUGGCAGAGAACCAAACACCAAACUCACAUCCUCUGGCCAAGCUCCUUCCAUCGCCACUGUACCAUUUCUAUUUCUAUCGGAACAACCAAACUUCCGCCCUCCAAACAAACUCAACUACCUCUGGCCCAACCUUUUUCUCCCGCUGUCGGACCGCCAUCAUAACUCCAUCUUUAGUAACCAAACACCUCUACCACGAACCUUGAACAACUUCCUCUUCAAUCUCUC
rnacentral:lncRNA from 1 species